rnacentral:sRNA from 1 species
CCCCUUGCGUGUGUUUGUGUGUUCAAACGAGGCGGCAAUGGCAGAUAAAUGUUUGCCCUUCCUCUGUAAUCCAGGCCGCCCCAUUACUGCCUUUCCUUUUUCUUAGUUUGUUUGGUUUAUUCCGAGUUAAUUGUAUCUGUUUCUUUAUUUUCCUCUUCAUUUCUUUAGUUGAGUCAGGGGUCUUUGCACAAAAGCCCUGGAAAUCAGUACCUGGAUCAGGUCUGCAGCCUGCUCACAGAGUUCUACCCACCUUCACCUCUCAAGUGAUGCAAUCAAAGAAAUGCAGCACCACACCUGGCUUCUUUUCACAUGUACAUUUACUUUAGUUCCAAUGUUCACUCAGGUCUGAGAGAGGGGGGAGGGAAGGAGGGAAGAGAGACAGAGAGUGACAGAGAAACUGUGAAAGAGAGGGAGAAUUGUAGGUUAUUGUUCCAUCUCUUCAAUUACUGUCUAUUGGUCGCCAUCUUGGCAACCAUGUCCCCAACCCUACCUUGGGUAAGAUCAAGAAUAAUGGCAGCAACCAUAAAAUUCCUGCUUAGUUGCACUGAACACUCCGGUCAUCACUACCUGUGGAGUAAGGGGGCUCCUCUGAUCUAGAGAGUAGUACCCUUGAAUGAAUGAGAAUCACAACAAGCAUUAUUUGUUUUGAAAUAUAAGACGUGGAAAGAACUAUAUGUGUGGAUUUACAGACAGACAGACAGGACAGGACAGGACAAGACAGGACAGGACAGGACAGGACAGGAGAAAAAAACAAGAACACAAACAAAAACUCAAAAUGGAAGUCCAGUUCCAAAUAGUCUCUGUCUGCAGUGUUGAUCUAGUGUUGGUGGUCCAGCUUAUAAAAGCUUAUACAUGGGUGGGUGCGGAAAAUGCUGCUGGGUGUUCAGUUUAGGUCCAAGGUUAUUGCAGGUAACUAGACAACAAA